CACCUCGAGCUGCUGAACUGCAGUCCGUCCUCUGUCUCAACAAGAACAAGUAGAAGAGUCUUCAGUGUUUGUCCACCAGGGGGCAGCAGUCACAGGUUGGGGCACAGACGCUUUUCAAUAACAGCUGCUCUUUUUAUUAAUGUGAGAUACAGUCAACAACAAAACAACAAACAAAAA